AAGCGCUUGCAGCCAGACUUGCCUGUAGUUGCUCACCUGGGCUUUUGCCCGGGGCACUCUUCUGCAGGCAGGCCAGCAUCAGUUUGGGCGGUCGGAUAAAGGCCUCUGACACGUACUUCCUCUCGGGGUUGACAUAUAGGGGAGGCGUAAUGCGACCAGCCUGGACUGAGGUCCGCGCAUCUGCUAGGAUGCUGGCGUAAUGGCUGUAAGCGG
rnacentral:rRNA from 1 species